GAUGAACGCUGGCGGCGUGCUUAACACAUGCAAGUCGAACGAAGCACUUAUCUUUGAUUCUUCGGAUGCAGAGGUUUGUGACUGAGUGGCGGACGGGUGAGUAACGCGUGGGUAACCUGCCUCAUACAGGGGGAUAACAGUUAGAAAUGACUGCUAAUACCGCAUAAGACCACGGAGCCGCAUGGCUCAGUGGGAAAAACUCCGGUGGUAUGAGAUGGACCCGCGUCUGAUUAGGUAGUUGGUGGGGUAACGGCCUACCAAGCCAACGAUCAGUAGCCGACCUGAGAGGGUGACCGGCCACAUUGGGACUGAGACACGGCCCAAACUCCUACGGGAGGCAGCAGUGGGGAAUAUUGCACAAUGGGGGAAACCCUGAUGCAGCGACGCCGCGUGAGCGAAGAAGUAUUUCGGUAUGUAAAGCUCUAUCAGCAGGGAAGAAAAUGACGGUACCUGACUAAGAAGCACCGGCUAAAUACGUG
rnacentral:rRNA from 1 species